rnacentral:rRNA from 1 species
AUUGAACGCUGGCGGCAGGCCUAACACAUGCAAGUCGAGCGGAUGAGUGGAGCUUGCUCCAUGAUUCAGCGGCGGACGGGUGAGUAAUGCCUAGGAAUCUGCCUGGUAGUGGGGGACAACGUUUCGAAAGGAACGCUAGUACCGCAUACGUCCUACGGGAGAAAGUGGGGGAGUCUUCGGACCUCACGCUAUCAGAUGAGCCUAGGUCGGAUUAGCUAGUUGGUGAGGUAAAGGCUCACCAAGGCGACGAUCCGUAACUGGUCUGAGAGGAUGAUCAGUCACACUGGAACUGAGACACGGUCCAGACUCCUACGGGAGGCAGCAGUGGGGAAUAUUGGACAAUGGGCGAAAGCCUGAUCCAGCCAUGCCGCGUGUGUGAAGAAGGUCUUCGGAUUGUAAAGCACUUUAAGUUGGGAGGAAGGGCAGUAAGUUAAUACCUUGCUGUUUUGACGUUACCAACAGAAUAAGCACCGGCUAACUUCGUGCC